GGAAGCAGGUUCAGGAAUACAGGCGUAAUGUCACAGGAAGGCCAUAGUAUUCUGCCACCCGUGAGGAGUAAGCCCAAGUUGCUGUUGGAUGUGUUGUACACAGAGGAGCCAUUCUUCAGGCACUCUGCUCUCUCCA